UUAGAAAGUACGCUGCAAACAACCCAGAAAUUACUGUAUUGCAGAACAUAGAAGAAACCCGAUAUAUUGUGGUGCUUGUAACUCCUUUUAUGAGGAGAAUUCACAGUAACUUCAGGGAAGCUGGAGAAAUAGUGUUUGUAGACGCUACAGGAUGUGUUGAUCAACUCAAUACAUCACUUAUCCCAUUUCUUUGUGCUGGACCAACAGGAGCUGCUCCUCUUGCUCUACUGUUUACAUCAUCCAUAGAUGAAGGAACACUAAAGAAAGGUUUUGAUAUGGUGAAAUGUGCUCUUGGAGACGGUGCGUUUUAUGGGAGGCAGUCACCGCAAACCUUCAUGACUGACAACUGUACUGCAAUGAAGAAAGCCUUAGCAGAAGCCUGGCCUGCGGCUCGACAGUUUUUAUGUAUUUUUCACCUACUUCAACAAGUGUGGCGAUGGCUACUUGACCUCAAGCAUGGCAUAAAGAAAGAAGACCGCCAAGUGCUGAUGGGUGCAGUGAAGUGCCUCGUUUAUGCAUCAUCAAAAGAAGAUUUCUUCACAGUUUGGCAACAAUUCCAGGCUAACCCUCUUUCACAGAAAUAUGCAAACUUCAGCAGUUACCUCAGUUCACUAAUGGAACGGAAGGAGGAGUGGGGCAUUACGUUCAGGGGUGGCGCCAUGUUGCGAGGUCAUCAUACGAACAAUUUCAGCGAGGCCACCAUGUGCAUCAUUAAGGAAGUUGUUUUGAAUAGGUAAGUAUC